rnacentral:rRNA from 1 species
GAUGAACGCUGGCGGCGUGCCUAAUACAUGCAAGUCGAGCGAACGGACGAGAAGCUUGCUUCUCUGAUGUUAGCGGCGGACGGGUGAGUAACACGUGGAUAACCUACCUAUAAGACUGGGAUAACUUCGGGAAACCGGAGCUAAUACCGGAUAAUAUUUUGAACCGCAUGGUUCAAAAGUGAAAGACGGUCUUGCUGUCACUUAUAGAUGGAUCCGCGCUGCAUUAGCUAGUUGGUAAGGUAACGGCUUACCAAGGCAACGAUGCAUAGCCGACCUGAGAGGGUGAUCGGCCACACUGGAACUGAGACACGGUCCAGACUCCUACGGGAGGCAGCAGUAGGGAAUUUUCCGCAAUGGGCGAAAGCCUGACGGAGCAACGCCGCGUGAGUGAUGAAGGUCUUCGGAUCGUAAAACUCUGUUAUUAGGGAAGAACAUAUGUGUAAGUAACUGUGCACAUCUUGACGGUACCGAAUCAGAAAGCCACGGCUAACUACGUG